CCGGUCAGACUCUUGCAGGAGGAUUGUGCGGAGGUAAUAAUCAUCACUGGAAGCAGGUAAGAACGGGAUAUACAUGACUUCAUCAUUAUAAACCAUAGAGGGUAGAGGUCAUUUCUAUGGUUCGACAUGGCAGAGGCAGGUAAUGGGUCUCCUACUGCUGUUCCCCAGAAAUUCUGUGAUGGGUCUCCUACCGGAUUUCUAUUUGACCGGGAUGCAAGCACAACAAAAGACCAGCCCACAGCGAGCAAAACUAGUUUGGUCAGUCAACCAGGAGCAAGCACUGGUGAGAAGCCCUACAUGUGUAUGGAGUGUGGGUAUAGGACAGCUAAGAAAUCUCAUUUAUCCGACCAUAUGAGAAUUCAUACCGGUGAAAAACCCUACAAGUGUGACCAAUGUAACUAUUCUGCAGCAAAGAAAUGUCAUUUACAUUAUCAUCUUGCCAAACAUACUAGUGACAAACUCUACAUGUGUGGGAAAUGUGGGUACAGGACUGCUCAGAAGUCUCACUUAUCCCGACACAUAAGAACUCACACAGGGCAAAAACCUUAAGUGUGAACAGUGUAACUAUUCUGCAGCAAGGAAAUGCCAUUUGGACCUACAUCUAGCCAAACAUACUGGUUAUAAGCCUUGCAUAUGUGGGGAGUGUGGGUACAGGACAGCUCACAAGUCACAUCUAUUCCGACAUAUGAGAACUCAUACUGGUGAAAAACCCUAAAAGUGUUACCAGUGUGACUAUUCUGCUGCACAGACGUCCACUUUAAAACAACACCUAGCCAUGCACACUGGUGAAAAGCCCUACAUAUGUGGGGAGUGUGGGUACAGGACAACUCGGAAGUCGCAUUUAUCCGCACAUAUGAGCACGCAUACAGGUUACAAACCCUACAAGUGUGCCCACUGUGACUAUUCUUCUGCACUUAAGUUCAAUUUGGACAGACAUGUAUCUAAACACACUGGUUAUAAGCCUUAGUCUUACAGGUGUUUGGAGUAUGGGUGAAAGACAGGUGAAAAGUCUUGCUUAGCGAAACAUAUGAGAACUCAUGCCGGUAAUUGAAUCUAAAAAUGUGACCAGUGUGACUAAAUCUAACUUUGAGCAACUCAUAUUUUUAUCUUAUCCCAAAAUAUGAAGACUCACAAAUGUUAAAAAAAAACCCUCACAGUGUGACUUCCCUGCAGCAAGGACGUGUAAUUUCUACGUGUAAUUAGACAACACAUAAACUGAUGACACACCUACAUGUGUGGGGAGUGUCUGUACCGGACAGUUCGGAAGUCUACCUUGCCAAUCGACCUUCAAUAAACACAAUGGUUAACAUCAUUAUAUGUUUGAGAAAUGGACAUCUUAGUAAACUCGAUAAUAAAUACGAACUGGUAGUCCAUAUGAUAUGACUAGAACACCGGGCUGUCUGACUAAGUUGAGUCAGUCCUUGUCUUGUGAAGUUAGCUUCUGUGAGGUAAAAUUUUAGUAACUACCAUGGCCGAUAUGUAAGAACAUAAGUCAUUAGUGACAAUAAAGAUGUUUGAUAGAAGUACAAAUUCCAUUCCAUUGUCUCAGUCUCUUCUGUGGCAGGUUAUUAUGCUGACCAUACGAUGUCACAGUUAGUUAUUAACGUGUCAUGUAAAAAACACUACAAAACAGAAAGAAAGACGGAAGGAAAAAAAAGAAUGGAAGAGAAUGAAUGAAAAACAUAAAAGUCCAA